UGGGGAAUAUUGCACAAUGGGGGAAACCCUGAUGCAGCAACGCCGCGUGAAGGAAGACGGUUUUCGGAUUGUAAACUUCUGUUCUUAGUGAAGAAUAAUGACGGUAGCUAAGGAGCAAGCCACGGCUAACUACGUGCCAGCAGCCGCGGUAAUACGUAGGUGGCAAGCGUUGUCCGGAAUUACUGGGUGUAAAGGGAGCGCAGGCGGGAGACCAAGUCAGCUGUGAAAACUACGGGCUUAACCUGUAGACUGCAGUUGAAAACUGGUUUUCCUUGAGUGAAGUAGAGGUUGGCGGAACUCCGAGUGUAGCGGUGAAACUGCGUAGAUAUUCGGAGGAACACCGGUGGCGAAGGCGGCCAACUGGGCUUUAACUGACGCUGAGGCUCGAAAGUGUGGGGAGCAAACAGGAUUAGAUACC
rnacentral:rRNA from 1 species